CGGACGGGUGAGUAACACGUGGAUAACCUACCUAUAAGACUGGGAUAACUUCGGGAAACCGGAGCUAAUACCGGAUAAUAUAUUGAACCGCAUGGUUCAAUAGUGAAAGACGGUUUUGCUGUCACUUAUAGAUGGAUCCGCGCCGCAUUAGCUAGUUGGUAAGGUAACGGCUUACCAAGGCGACGAUGCGUAGCCGAACUGAGAGGGUGAUCAGCCACACUGGAACUGAGACACGGUCCAG
rnacentral:rRNA from 1 species